rnacentral:tRNA from 1 species
GGGGGAAUAGUUUGACCCAAGAACGUUCGGUUUGCACUCGAAAGGACCCACCUGGUGGGGUCCCCCG